UGGGUGGAGUCCUGACAUCUCAUCCUACAAAACAAGAAUAUGUGUAAGAUCAGUCUGUAGCAAUGACAUCAAGAGACAUGAUCAGCAUUUUAAUAGUGUUUCAGUCACUUUACUGGAUUCAAGGAGUUGCAGGAGCAAAUGAUGUGAAUCAGCCACAAACACUUUGGGUUAAAAAUGGACAACCAGCCAAAAUAAACUGCUCACACACAAAGGGUGCAACUUACAGAGAAAUGUACUGGUAUCGUCAGUAUCAUGGAGAGAGCAUGGAGCUCAUAGUGUUCACUACCAGCUAUGGAACUCUAGACUUUGGAAAAUUCAACCAGAAUAAAUUUUCAGCUGUUAAAUCAGUUCCUGAGAGCGGCUCAUUUACAGUGAACGAUGUGCAUUAUAACGACAGCGCUGUGUAUUACUGUGCUGUGAGAGAACACAGUGUUAUAACCACAGGGUAGAGCUGUACAAGAACGUACUGUGUGUCAGUCAGGAAGAUGUGGAGACA